GACAAAUAUUAUACUUUAAUUUGAGGUUUUAUGAUUGAUUUAUAUUUCUAAUUAUAUGCUACUUUUGUUUUUAAUGUUUUAGCUUUCAUUGGGUCUUGGUAGUGAUUGAGCCAAGGAAAAUGAUAGUCCACUAUCUUGACCCUAUGCAUCACAAACCAUGUGAGGACUUAAAGGAUAUCGUAAACAUUGUCCAAGGCAAGAAGGAGGGUUCGAAUGUGGCUACUUUGUUAUGAGAUUCAUAAAAGAGAUAAUUUUUUAUCCUACAAUUAUUGCUUCAAAGGUAUUACAAAUUUAAUGAAUUGUACAUAGUUUUAGGCUUCCAAAUGUUAUGCAUUUUAAUGUUAUUUUCUUAUUUGAUUUCAGUUUGGUGGUAAAAAAACAUAUUCUCAAGUAGAGUUUGACGAAAUUAGAGGAGAAUGGGCUACUUUUGUGCUACAACUAAUCAUGAAUCAUGUUGAUGCAUCAUGAUCACCAUGCAUGGUAUACACUUUUGGGAUGGUGGAAUGGAGAAUAAAAAGAAAGAAGAAGGCAACAAGAUUUUGGGUUUUUAAAUGCAACUCUUAUGUCAUAC